rnacentral:lncRNA from 1 species
GGGUUUCUACGACGGUGCGAAUGAUGAAAAAGGUAAAAAAAAUUGUUUGUCUCCCUAUUUUAUGUUUGCUUCAAAAAUAAAAAAGAACUACCUUUUCUUAACUUUGGUUUUUUUUUUUUUGUAUUCAAUUUCUUCUCUGUUUGAAAAUUACAAGAGUUUGGCUUUUAUAGCCAUUUUAAUUCCAAUAUCUUUUUUCUUUUUUUUUCUACUCUAUUUUCUGUCCAUCUUCUAUUUCUCUGCCUCUGUUAUUGUUUUCUCUUUUUUCUAGGUACCCGUGGCGAUGGUAGCAAAGGGGCGUGCCUACUGACGCGGCAAGAGCGAUAGCUACGCUGAAGACUUAAGGCUUUCUUUCUUCUAUUUAGGUUUAGGAUUGUGGGCUAUUGGGCUUUGGGUUAUUAGGUGUUAGGGUUUAGGUAAUUUGGGCUUUUGUAUUUGGGCCAAUCUGUUUUUGUGAGUGGACUUUGAUAUUAAUAGACUUUUUAUUUUUUAUUUUUUUUUGGUUUUUGUUUUGUCUUGGUCGGACAAAUUUGGGCCACUACAGCUGCCCUUCUUUGCUCAUUGUCUUGUAAUGGCAAGGGAGCAAAGACUUCAAAAAAGGACCAAUUCUGUCCAGUCUCUUUGAAUC